rnacentral:rRNA from 1 species
UACGAAGGGGGCUAGCGUUGUUCGGAAUUACUGGGCGUAAAGCGCACGUAGGCGGACAUUUAAGUCAGGGGUGAAAUCCCGGGGCUCAACCCCGGAACUGCCUUUGAUACUGGGUGUCUAGAGUCCGGAAGAGGUGAGUGGAAUUCCGAGUGUAGAGGUGAAAUUCGUAGAUAUUCGGAGGAACACCGAAGGCGAAGGCAGUGUCCUGGCGAGUGACUGACGCUGAGGUGCGAAAGCCAGGGGAGCGAACGGG